GCACAGCUGUGUGCAGAAUAGAGUGGCCUGUCUGGGCGCCCUCCAUGGCGACUCCCGCCGCCUUCUUUGCUCUUCGUGUUGCCCCAAAACCUCAAAGGCAACCCCUGGACCCCAACACUUGGCGCUGUGAGCAGGAUGAGGUGCACGGGGAUCAGCUGGACGAGUAGCGUGGAUAUCCCUGACGGUCAUCCACCGGGCCGCUCGCACACCUGCGCACCCGCAGCAGCACGUGCAGAGUCUCCGAAGGAAGGAGGAUCCAGAGCAACGGCUGGCGGCCGCCCAGUGCAUGUUAUGGGGAUCGCUGAGUCCUGCCCGUCAUCGCGGGCGGGAAGCCCUUAGAGCAGCACAGCGCCCAUGGUUGUGCACGCCCGCCCUGCCGUGCGUCAACGCGUGGAGGGAGGUACAAGAACCCACAGGUGCAGGGGGAGCCGGGUGGCCCCCAGAAAGACAUAUACGGCCACGAAAUUGCGGGAUUUGGCCUAGCAGUGUAAGCAACAUUUGGGGGAAUCUGUGCCGGCCUGGCUGCUGGGGCUGUGGGAUGAGGGCACCGAGAAUACUGAGCUCUCACCCGCUGAGGUGUCACAACUUGCCAGCAUAACAGCUGUGCCCUCUAUGCGGUGCCUAUUGCGGGCGCUAGGUGCACAGACCCACACACUGGCAAUAAGACCCUGAUUAACUAACUGGUCAGUGGCUGCAGCAAAGGCAGUGUGGGAUACCCCAGGGUACAUGCCAGAGCGUGUAACAAAGUGGGGCACGUAUCUGGAGCUGGUGCGCGUGCUCCGUGAAGUGGGUACGAGGCAGAUGAUGUUUGCUCCCCAUUAUGAAGAACUUUAACGUCUUAUAUGAAAGAUCUUGUUCUAGCCAACGGUCCUGCAGGGACCUUUGAAGUGUUGCCGCGUUGCUAGUGCCAUACACCGACUGCCCAAUAUAUGAAGCGGUGUCAGCAUUAGCCCGCUUGGGAGACGUAGAAGUAAAGUGACCUCAAGCAACCGAAGUGAUAACUACCGCGGUGAAGCAGCACAAAGGGAAAAAAACAGCCAGGGCGAAAACAGCGCCGAGGACGGCCGCGGUAGGAUCGCUAGAAGUGAGCCGCAGACAGGUGUGGACCGACCUUUGGCUGCUGGUUUGGCUCGUGAGAGCUUGAUGGACAGACAGCCUUCAGAGGUCCUGACGGGACUAUGGCCGCAGUUGCGUCCAGACCAACGCUAUCGCCCACUGCCCCGAAGCGGGUGCGGGGAGCGCUGUGGCGGGCCAGGAACCCACGCCCUAUGCUCUGACUGACUUCCUCCCCGACUAGGGGUGGGGCCGAGGUACCCGGUACACUGGACACCAGAGGACUGGGGGCCAUUUGUUGAACUUGCCAUUCACUGGUCCCCACAGAAUAUACAGAGGGUGUUGGCGCUGGUGGAUACAGGUGCUGACUCCACCCUCCUCCAUGGCCACCCGGAUCGGUUCCGGGGCCCCUCUGCGGUCAUAGAGGGGUAUGGUGGGCAAACGGUGCGGGUGCGGCGAGUGACUCUGACUCUGAGAAUUGGGCACCCGCCCCGACAUCAGUAUGCGGUUUAUGUAUCUCGAUACCAGAAUACAUUCUAGGGGUGGAUGUGCUGCACGGUCUGACAAUGCAAACGACUCUGGGAGAGUUUCGGUUGUGUGUGCGUGUUGUGAAAACAGUGUGGUGAGGUCAUCCCCACCGCACACCUUUAGUGUUGCCACAGCCACCCGCAUAGUGAACAUUAAACGAUACCGGCUGCCUGGUGGGCAGGAGGAAACCGGACAAACCAUUUUGUGGUUGGAGGAAGUACACAUUAUCCAGGCAGCACACAGCCCUUUUAAUUCCCCUGUAUGCCCUGUGAAGAAGCCAGAUGGCACUUGGAGAACGACAGUGGACUGUUGGGGACUAAAUAAAAUGACUGCCCCACUGCACACUGCAGUACCUAACAUCACUGACCUGAUAGAUAAGCUGACUGUGACUUCGGGGACUUCCCACUUUGUGUUGGAUCGGCUAAUGCCUUCUUUUCCAUUGACAUUGCACCGGAAAGCCAGGAUCAAUUCACCUUCACAUGGGAGGGCCACCAAUGGACGUUUGUGGUCCUCCCACAAGGAUACUUGCACAGUCCUACUUUGUGUCAUGGCUUGGUGACUACUGGCCUGGCCACCUGGUUCCACCUGCCCUCGGUUCAAGUGUUCCGUUAUGUAGAUGACAUAAUGUUGACUUCUGAUUCUCUCCCAUAUCUAGAAGCUGCUGCUUGCAGUUUGCACCAGGCCCUCCAGGGGUGGGGAUGGGCCGUCAAUGAAGACAAGGUGCCGGGACCUGGUUACUCUGUCAAGUUCUUGGGUGUGUCUGGUUGGGUGAGACAAAAGUACUACCUGAGGCAGUGAUUGAUAAAAUACAAGACUACGCCCCCUAGAAAAUGUUAGGCAGCUACAAACAUACGGAGGUCUGUUGGGGUAUUGGGGAACGUUUAUCCCUCACUUAGCCAUGCUGUUGAAGCCACUGCAUGGCCUUAUAAAGCGAGGGGAAACAUGGGACUGGAUGCCGGGGAUAGAAAAGGCUUUUGCUGAGACAAAAGCAGCAGGGGCUCAGGCCCAGGCACUGCGAGUCACUGACCCCUCCACACCUUCCUGCUGACGGUGUCUGCCAGCAUGGACGGGUACGGGUGGGGAUCAUGGCAGAAACACGGGGCCCACAAAAUCCCAAUAGGAUUUUGGUCUCAGCUGUGGAAGGGGGCUGAGACUCACUAUUUGCUGUUGGAAAAACAGCUGGCAGCGUGUAUGCUGCCUUACUGGCUCCUGAAGGAGUCACGGAAUGCAAGCAGUACAGGUGGUUACUGCCCUCCCGAUUGAGGGGUGGGUGCGAGCCUGAGCCACAGCUCCCUGGACUGGGGCUGCGCAGACACCCACCCUGACCAAAUGGGGAACCUAUUUAGAACAACAGGCUAGAUUCUCUAAAAGCCCUUUCACAGGAAUUGCAGCAAGUUUGGGACGAUUAACUUUUGUGGUUGAACCCGCACCCACCUUACUGAGCAUGGAAGUGCCAAUGGUAAGCCCCUAUGAGGAGGGGACAGGGACACCACCAGUGGAGGCCUGGUACACAGACGGACCUGCAAAGGGCCACCCACCAACAUGGGUGGCUGUCACCAUUCAGCCCUUACAGGAAGAGUUCUGGUAUGAGUCCGGAGUAGGGCGAUCCAGCCAAUAGGCUGAUUUAUAGGCGAUGUGGCUUGUUUUGACUAGGGGAUCAGGUAAAAUAACCAUUUGCACUGACAGUUGGGCUGCGUUUUAGGGCCUCACUGUCUGGCUGCCUCAGUGGGCAGUGCAGGCCUGGGGAAUCGGCCAUUGCCCACUGUGGGGACAAACGAUGUGGAAGGACAUGUGGACCCAUGGGUUAAAGGAAGGGGCCCUAAUACAUUGUGUGUGAGGACACCACCCAACACUAAGUCCUGUAAAUGAUGUGGCCAACGCCUUGGCCAGGGCUCGUAUGCUCCACGAAUGCCCCCUAUGGACAUGGGGCCAUGGUUGCAUAAGAAACUAGGACAUGUAGGCCCUAGAACCAUGGGUAAAGUUGCCCAGAGGUGGAACAUUCUGCUGAUGUUUGCUGAUGCAAAACAAGUGGUGCAAGCAUGUGCUCAAUGCACUUCCUUUUACCCACAUUGUCGUCAGGUACCCAUGCAAGAGGGACAGCUCCCCUGCCCACCAGAGCCCUUACAGGUGUGGCAAGUAGAUUACAUAGGGUCCUUGCCCAGUCAUCAGGGAUGUAAAUGUGCAUUCACAACAGUGGACAUGGCUACAGGAGUGGGUUUUGCCCAUCCCAUGGCCCAGGCUACCCAGCACACUACUAAACGGGUCUUGGAGCACUUAUGUGCCAGUUAUGGGUGUCCGUUAAUGGUCAACAGUGAUGGAAGGAACCACUUUACAGGACAGAAGAUACAAGAAUGGGCUUGACAACAGGACAUUGUAUGGUAAUUACACGUGCCCUAUCGACCCCAAGCCCCCGGAAUGGUAGAAAGGACUAUUAAAGGACAAGUUGAAACAUUUAGCAUGGGCACAGUGGGUGAAGCACUUGCCCGUAGCAGUACAGUUGCUGAGUGAGCAACCAGAGAAAAUGGGGGAAAGCCCCAUAGGGCUGUUGGUGGUGGCUUGCCCAUACAUCUUGAAAUAUUUGAAACAGGGCGCCAGUGAAUUGCAGCCACAGUUGCUGGAAGAAACAUUGCUCCUUCCUGCCCCACGUACGCUGUCUCCUGGCCGUACCAAGGAGUGGACGUGGCUGUGGACCUCAGUGUUUGAAGGACAUCUGUGGGUUGCGUUGUAUGAGGCUGACAGAGAGCAAUAACAUGGUGGCACGGGCCCGUACUUUAGCCCAGGUACAUAGGGUCUCCCACUUCUGGGUGUGUAUGGAACUGCCCUAGGAAAUCACUGCUGGACUGCUGUGGAAAAUCGCUCCCUUCAACCUGUCUGCGUGGGAACGCCCUCGAGCACGGAAUCGCAGUGAUGCCGAAGGUGAAGCAAAACAGUGUGUGACUGAGCAGUUGAUCCGGCAGUCAGCACACACUCUGCCUGGGGGAGGACCGUGUAUAAUGGGUGGGGACGGAUGUCUAGUACACAUGUCACCUUGCAAACCAUAGCUCCGCUGUGCACUGAACAGCAGGUUUCCAUACCCAGUCUCAUGGUUGGCUGGUUACCCAGAGAACUGUGUGCCAAUGUCAGUGGUAAUCGCACCCCUAAGCACUGGUGGGAUGGUUACACCCAUGUGGGCACUGUGCCGACCAACCCCCGGCCAGGAUAAACCAUUUGGAUAUGUUGGGAAUACGGCUGGUCCUAUCUCCCUGCACACUGGAUGGGCCGUUGUACAUGGGACCGCUCCGACAUAUCAGGACAGAUAUCACAAACCUUGCAGUGGCCCACACAUAACUGGGAUGCUGUACAUUCCCGCUGGCAUCAUCCCAAAUGGACGGCAUGGUGGUUUUACUCCCUGGCUAUCUUCCUUCCAGGAGCUGGCACUAUAGAUGUAGAACUACAAAUAGACGCCGUGGCACAGCAUGUUGUGCUGUGAAUGUAACAAGGUCCUUGCCAGCCCUGUUGCUAGAUGAAAUCACCCAGACGCGGAAGGUGACUUUACAAACCAGAAUCGCUCUGGAUCAACUCACAGCUGCACAAGGGGGCUCCUGUGCUUUACUGCACGUUGACUGCUGUGUUUAUAUCCCAGACCACCGGCAGCAAAUACAAGCUGUGCUCCAGGAAGUGGAUGAGGAAGUGUCUCAGAUACAAGCCUCAUCCCAGGACCCCUGCCUACGUGGUGGUCACAGCUUGGCCCCACUUGGCUGUGGCUCCUAACCACAGCAGCAGCCGGGGCAUGUGGCCUCCUUGUCUGUGGCUGUUCUUGUUUCUGUGGACUCUGGGCACAGGACUCCGCUUUGUGUGCAAGAAAGAAGCAGGCAGCUGCUGUCCUAUAGAAAGGGAUGGGGUGCAGGGAAGGCUCCCCCACCUUCCCCCACUGUUCUUUGAGGACAGUUGCCACUGCUUCACCCCAGAUAUAUCUGGCCUUGAGAAACCUGUUGUACCCAUGGGAAAGGAGCUAGGUAAGGGCCUUGAAGGCCACAUGCAUGCCCAUCUUAAAACACUUAUGUAACCAUGAAUUAGCAGUACAGCAGUAUAAGAAAUACAGCUUUGUGCAGAAUAAAGUGGCCUCUUUGA